UUUCCGUAGGUGAACCUGCGGAAGGAUCAUUAUUGGAUUUUGAAACUUCAGGCUGCUGCUGGCUCUCCUCGGAGGGCAUGUGCACGCUUGUUGUCCAUUAUUUCUCCCUCUGUGCACAAAUUGUAGACCUUUCAGUAGGCCUAUGUUGUUUUUCACAAUCUCUGAAUGUAAUGGAAUGGUUUUGAAUCUUGGGAAAUACAAUACAACUUUCAGCAACGGAUCUCUUGGCUCUC
rnacentral:misc_RNA from 1 species